GACGAACGCUGGCGGCGUGCUUAACACAUGCAAGUCGAACGGAGUGCCUAUGAUAGAGGUUUCGGCCAAUUGAUUAGGUUACUUAGUGGCGGACUGGUGAGUAACGCGUGAGGAACCUGCCUUUCAGAGGGGGACAACAGGUGGAAACGACUGCUAAUACCGCAUGACGCAUUGAGGGGGCAUCCCUUUGGUGCCAAAGAUUUUAUCGCUGAAAGAUGGCCUCGCGUCUGAUUAGCUAGUUGGUGGGGUAACGGCCCACCAAGGCGACGAUCAGUAGCCGGACUGAGAGGUUGGCCGGCCACAUUGGGACUGAGACACGGCCCAGACUCCUACGGGAGGCAGCAGUGGGGAAUAUUGGGCAAUGGGCGCAAGCCUGACCCAGCAACGCCGCGUGAAGGAAGAAGGCUUCGGGUUGUAAACUUCUUUCUUAGGGACGAAGCAAGUGACGGUACCUAAGGAAUAAGACCACGGCUAACUACGUGCCAGCAGCCGCCGCGGUAAC
rnacentral:rRNA from 1 species